AUAAAUAAAUAAAUAAAUAAAUAAAUUAAAAAAAAAAAAAAAAAAAAACUUCAAAGCAUGUUCUAAGAUGUUAUGGUUUGAAUCUGCAAUGCCCCCACAGGACCAUGUGUUGAGCCUUGGUCCCUCAUUUUCGUUUGCAGCUAUAGGUAGAGCCCUUAGGAGGUGGGCCCUGGUUGGCAGAAGUGGACCACUUCAAGUGGGGUUUUCAAAGUUACAACUGUCCAUGCUCCUGCCCUGCAUGUCCUGCUUAUUUGUGCAUUAUGAGGUGACUCUGCCACGCACUCCUGCUUGUGACCUGCUCCCCCAUGCCUCCCUCACUGUGAUGGACUGCAACUCUCUGAACUAGGAUGAUUAUCAACACUGUUCCAGGUGGCUCUUGAGGACUGUGUCUCUAAAAUGCUCCUGCUUGCUCCAGGUUCCCUGUUCGUGCUGUCUCAGAAUAGACCUGAUCCCAUGCCCUGACCGCACUGCCCAGCCCGCAGCUUUUGUAGAGGCCCUUUGCACCAUCGGUAUUAUCAUUAGAUACAUGUACAAAAGAAGAGUCCUCACCCCUCAUCGCAGGAAGACUAGUAGAUAAUUUUUAAAUAUGAUAUCUAUAAUACUAACGUUCUGAUGGAAAGUGUAUGUACAGAAGCACAUUUGGUUUCAUAAUAUUCCCAAGGCUUGGCUAGCUGAGACAGUCUUCUCCAGAGAGUUGUUUUUGUAACAAUUAUAGAGAACGUGAGAAAGGCCUUUCACAAGUUGAGACAUAAUUUAGUGUGAACAGAUCUCCAAGAAGAUCUGUUUUGCAAAUUAUAUUUCCUGUGCUCAUUUUAAAUGACUACAUAAAGAAAUUCUAUAUAACAUUUCAAAAAGAUUGUACUCUGUUGACCAUUUUUCUGUGUCAUGUUUAAAAGACAACGAAGCCCAUAAUGUGGUAUGCUUCGGUGGAAGCUUCCCAGUCAGCCAUCUCAAUGACACGUGGAUGAAGCCCCUCAGCCAGCCCGCUCCAUCCACUGCAUGAAGACACAGUGGACAUAAAAUCAAGCAGGGCCCGAAGCAGAGCAGCAAGGCACAAAGGGUGCAGCAGAUAACUCCGUGAAAGCACACAACAAAGGAGGGCAGGUCUCCCUUGCAGAAUUCAAACAAGCUGGAGCACCAUUUCACCAGGUGCUUUCCCAUUUCAGAUCACUGGUGCCGGCAGCAGCAACAAAUUAAAACAAACAAACCAAAAGCAGAGCUUAAUCACUCUUAAAAUGCUAUUAUCUUAAGUAUUUUUACAAAACACUAGAUUUUCUGAUGGAAAAAUAGCAUUCCAGUUUAUUUCUCUCAUGUGUAUAAAAAGAGAAGUGACAAGUUUAUAGAAUAAACAAACUUUUAUUUUAUAACAGUAUUACAUAAAGCAAAAUACCAUUUAAUACAACUUGAAGCUGCUAUAAAUCUAAUCUUGCAUCAUAACUAUACAGAGUCAAAAGCAAAUGAAAAACAUGUUCAAGACAGUUAAUAAGUCCCUCUCAGGUCUCUGGUGUCAGCUUUAAAUGGUAUAGCUUUCAUAUAACCAACACAAUCCCACCACUGUCCCCUACCCUCUUCUCCGCAGCUUCCUCAACCCUGCGAGUCAUCCAACUAUCUUAAAGAGAUAUACCUGCUCAGUAACAAAGGGUCAGUUUUACAUGUAGACAAAGAAGUUUAAUACAUAGCAAGUGCUCUACUCAAGUGUUCAGAUAAUGGGAAGUAUCGAAACUGGAAAGGUUAAGAAGGAAAGCACUAAGGCUUUAAGCUGCCUGAUUUCUUUUAGUAGGAAGAGGGAAGGGCACCUUCUGUGGUUCUCCUCCUGUUCUGGAAUGCUGUGGCAAAGCAUAGGUCUGAGAAGUACUGCACUGUGGGUGACGGUCUCUGAACACAGUGCUUGGUCAGUGAGCUUCGGAAUUCUCCAGUCCAGAGUCUCUGACUCCACUAAAGUACAAAGUCACAGGACUGGAAAGUCAAAGGGCUCAGUAUAAAAAUCAUUCGGAGUGAAAGUCCCAAAUAUUAGAAAAUUUUCAAGAUGUAAGAAAUGCUUUUAAUUGGUAUUAAUAUGUUCUCAUGCAAUGUAUUUACUGCAAUCUCAAAACUGUAAAUAUGGACUGUAAGAAUUCAAUGGAAACAAUCCUGAAGAAUGAAAAUUACUAUCUAAAUUAGUCACAGAGUUUCCUUUCCACAUAACAGCACCUGUUCAAGUGAACAGCACCUUACCAGCCUGGGCUGGCUUUGUUCACUGUCAUUUGAGCAAAUGAGUCAUACAAAGCAGUAGGAAAGGGAAACAAAUAUAAAACGCUUAACAAAAAAAAACAAAGAAUUAAAAAAAAAAAGACAGAGGGAAAGAAAGAAAGAAAAGAGGAAG